rnacentral:lncRNA from 1 species
UGAUUCUCCUGCCUCAGCCUCCCAAGUAGCUGGGAUUACAGGCACGUGCCACCACACCCAGCUAAUUUUGGUAUUUUUAGUAGAGAUGGGGUUUCACCAUGUUGGCCAGGCUGGUCUCAAACUCAUGACCUCAGGUGAUCCACCUUCUUUGCCCUCCCAAAGGGCUGGGAUUUUAGGCAGGGUUGUUAUUUAAGCUGAGAACUGGAGAUAUGGAAGCCAGGCAAAGGUCAGUGUGACUGGUUAUCUGGGGGUGAGAAAAAAAGGCUGCAGAGGGGAAGCUGGCCAGGUGGGCAAUGGCUUGAUCUGCAGAGAUUUGGAUGAUACUGCUGAGAGUCCAGGUUGAUUUUCAAAACUUUGGGAAAAAAAAAAUAGAUGGCACCAUUAAUAAAUAGAUGCCUACUUUUAUAUUCAUCAGGGAAUCUCUGCUCCGGGAACUCACAGAUACUUAAACUGAUAGGAGAAAGACCCCCUGCCUGCCUCCCUUCUUCUUUUCCAACGUUCUGACCUUUCUCCUGUGCCUUCCUGGCCCUUUGCAUGGCUCCUUUCCCCAUAUUGUGAGUGCCCCAGUGGCUUGAUGUCACUGAGAACAUCAUAUGCAGAUGGAGGGUUCUUUUCUUGGAGAGAUUGUGAUUCAGUCAUUCAAGAUGAUUCAAUCAUUCAAGAAAAGAAAACUUGCACUUGCUGAAAAUGUUCUAGAAGCCAGCUGCUGUGCCAUAGGAGUAAAAAACUUUUAUUAAAAUAUUUUACAUGUAUAUAUGUAUAUAAAUUUCACAGGACAUAAUUCUACAGGUCGAGGAGUUUCGCAGACAUAACUCCUUGGGAGCAGUGCCCAGGUCAAGAAAGAAAAUGUGGCCAAUGCCCCAGGAUCUUAUUUGGUCAUCCAGGCUGGACUGCAGUGGUGUGAUCAUAGCUCACUGCAGCCUCAAACUGCUGGACUCCAGUGAUCUUCCAGCCUCAGCCUCCCCCGGUAGCAAGGACUACAGGGUCCCAGAAGGAACCAACGCUGCCCACACCUUAAUUUGAGACUUCUGGCCUCUGAGAAAUGAGAAAGAGUCUCACUCUCUGUCGCCCAGCCUGGAGUGCAGUGGCAUCAUCUGAGCUCACUACAACCUCCGCCUCCCGGGUUCAAGCGAUUCUCCUGCCUCAGCCUCCUGAGUAGCUGGGACUACAGGCACGCGCCACCACGCCCAGCUAAUUUUCGUAUUUUUAAUAGACAUGGGGUUUCACCAUGUUGGCCAGGCUGCUCUUGAACUGCUAACCUCAAGUGAUCCACCAGCGUUGGCCUCUCAAAGUACUAGGAUUACAGUGCUAGGAGCCACCAUGCCCGGCCGCCUCUCUUUUCUUUUACACAUGAAGAAAAAGUGGUCAGAGAAGUUAACUUGGUCAGUGCCAAAAGCACUGGAAGUGAGUAGGACCAAGCUUUUCAUCUAGAUUUGUUUGUUAGACUCUAAAUCCAAAUUCACAACAAGAUCAGAAUAUGAGAAACCUAAGGAACAAAAUUCUAGGAAUCAUUUCUAGAAACUGUGGCUAUUGAAAAAGCACAGACCUAGGGAAUCAAAUUAUUUUCCCUGCCACCAGCACAUGGGUAGGCCUGUGACAAAUUCCAUGCUCUGGACCCCAGAUUCCUCAGUGAGAAUAGAAGGGGCUAGAGACAUCAGGGAAUUGGAUUUGGUGACUUUAAUACCCACUCAGCUCCAAAGCAUUCUUGAAUGAUGCACGAUUUAUGAAUAUAUAUAUUGAAAUUUACUGAUGGGUGAACAGCUCUCAACAUGAGAUUUUUGUUGUAUGCCUUAAAAAAGAUUAUACAUAAAUAUGCGUGUGUGUGUGUAUGUAUGUUUCGAUGUAUAUGAACCCAUGAUCUGAAAAAUGGCCACUGUGGCUUGUGGAAACCUAUUAAUCUCUGCUGUUCCACCCAACAUCCUCAGAGAAAAAAAUAAACAACUUUUUGAAAGUGCUGCCAUGGGGUCAGACCAAAUACUGUGGCCACUUCCAAGGGGUUUGCCUUGAUUUGCCUGGAUUCCUGUUCAUGUGACAUCUGCCUUCUAAUUCAAGGAUAUGAUCAAUUCAAUGUGUGAGUUAUCAAUCAAGGACUGGCAACAGUGAUGCUGAACAAGCCUGGUGGAAGGAAAGAGAAGGCAGGCCAGAGCCCAGACAGACGCAUUCACAAACCUUACAAAGAGGACAGGCUAAUUAGGGGCUGUAGUUCUCCCUCUCUUUAUAGUUGGUAUAAGAGGAGUGGUAAUCGUAGUGUCCAAAAAUAUAUGGGCUACAUAGUUGCUUAGUAAGCUGUGGGUAUGUGGUUUCUUCUGCAAGGUGCUUUCUUUCUGAUAAAGAGAUUACGUUGUUUGUUUGUUCAUUUAUUGAACAUAUUUACACUUACACACACACACACACACACACACAAUGUUCCAGAUACCGUACUUGGCAAUGGUAGUUAGACCUUGCUCUUGCAAAAUUUAUAAUGAAGUUGGGAAGUGUGGUUUGAUCCCUCAAAGUGUCCAAAUCCUAAUCCCCAG